AUUGAACGCUGGCGGCAUGCCUUACACAUGCAAGUCGAACGGUAACGGGCCUUCGGGUGCCGACGAGUGGCUAACGGGUGAGUAAUACAUCGGAACGUGCCCGAUCGUGGGGUAUAACGAGGCGAAAGCUUUGCUAAUACCGCAUACGAUCUACGGAUGAAAUCAUGGGACCGCAAGGCCUUGCGCGGGCGGAGCGGCCGAUGGCAGAUGAGGUAGUUGGUGGGAUAAAAGCUUACCAAGCCGACGAUCUGGAGCUGGUCUGAGAGGAUGAUCAGCCACACUGGGACUGAGACACGGCCCAGACUCCUACGGGAGGCAGCAGUGGGGAAUUUUGGAAAAUGGGCGCAAGCCUGAUCCAGACAUGCCGCGUGCAGGAUGAAGGCCUUCGGGUUGUAAACUGCUUUUGUACGGAACGAAAAGCCUUCUUUUAAUACAGGAGGGUCAUGACGGUACCGUAAGAAUAAGCACCGGCUAACUACGUG
rnacentral:rRNA from 1 species